rnacentral:rRNA from 1 species
UAGGACGGCCAUAGGGGGCUGGCUCCACCCGUUCCCAUCUCGAACACGGCAGUUAAGAAGCCCUCCGUUUCCGGUUGUACUGCUUUCGGGCGGGAAACCGGGAAAGCUGUCCGCC